AUUUAAAUAGUUUAUAUAAAAUAUUGAUUUGUGGUGUCAAUGAAAAGAGUUAUCUUCUUUAAAUC
rnacentral:tRNA from 1 species